rnacentral:sRNA from 12 species
CACCGCUUGGUGAAAAUUAAGGCCGUAAAUGGCACCGGUUAGUAGCAAGUCUGAAAGCCGGUGAGGCUAACAAAGAG